rnacentral:rRNA from 1 species
UACGUAGGGGGCAAGCGUUGUCCGGAUUCAUUGGGCGUAAAGCGUGCGUAGACGGUUAUGUAAGUCGGGUGUGAAAGCCCCGGGCUCAACCUGGGAAUUGCAUUCGAGACUGUGUAGCUAGGGUACGGAAGAGGGAAGCGGAAUUUCAGGUGUAGCGGUGAAAUGCGUAGAUAUCUGAAGGAACACCAGUGGCGAAAGCGGCUUCCUGGUCCAGUACCGACGUUCAGGCACGAAAGCGUGGGGAGCAAACAGG